AGUGAACGCUGGCGGUAGGCCUAACACAUGCAAGUCGAACGGCAGCACAGUAAGAGCUUGCUCUUACGGGUGGCGAGUGGCGGACGGGUGAGGAAUACAUCGGAAUCUACUUUUUCGUGGGGGUUAACGUAGGGAAACUUACGCUAAUACCGCAUACGACCUACGGGUGAAAGCAUGGGAUCUUCGGACCUUGCGCGAUUGAAUGCGCCGAUGUCGGAUUAGCUAGUUGGCGGGUGAAAGGCCCACCAAGGCGACGAUCCGUAGCUGGUCUGAGAGGAUGAUCAGCCACACUGGAACUGAGACACGGUCCAGACUCCUACGGGAGGCAGCAGUGGGGAAUAUUGGACAAUGGGCGCAAGCCUGAUCCAGCCAUACCGCGUGGGUGAAGAAGGCCUUCGGGUUGUAAAGCCAUUUUGUUGGGAAAGAAAAGCAGCAGGUUAAUACCCCGCUGUUCUGACGGUACCCAAAGAAUAAGCACCGGCUAACUUCGUG
rnacentral:rRNA from 1 species